UACGUAGGGGGCAAGCGUUGUCCGGAAUCAUUGGGCGUAAAGCGCACGUAGGCGGCUUCGCAAGUCGGAUGUGAAAUCCCUCGGCUCAACCAAGGACGUGCAUCCGAAACUGCAAAGCUUGAGUACAGAAGAGGAUCGCGGAAUUCCCGGUGUAGAGGUGAAAUUCGUAGAUAUCGGGAGGAACACCAGUGGCGAAGGCGGCGAUCUGGGCUGAUACUGACGCUGAGGUGCGAAAGCGUGGGGAGCAAACAGG
rnacentral:rRNA from 1 species